UAAUAGUUAUGUUCUUUAAAUUUAAAGAAAUUGGCGGUAAAUUAAUUAAUUAGAGGAACUUGUUUGAUAAUAGAUAUUACACAUUAAAUCUUACUUAUUAAUGUUUAGUCAAUUUGUAUAUCGUCGUUUAGAAUAUUUUUAUUGAAUUAAUUAUUCUGAUUAUUAGAUUAAUCAAAAAUCAGAUCAAGAUACAGUUUAUAAAUAUAGUCUUUAAUGAGUUACAUUUUAGUGUAUAAAAAAUGAAUUUUUAUUAGAAUUAAUUUAAUGAAGGUGGAUUUAAAAGUAAUUAUUAAUUAAUAUGUUAUAAUGAAUUGAUGAUAAUAAUUUAUGU
rnacentral:rRNA from 1 species